GAACACUUAACUCAGUUGGUCAGAGUGCUUCUCUUACAAAGAAGCUGUCAAGAGUUCGAUCCUCUUAGUGUUCU
rnacentral:tRNA from 1 species